rnacentral:rRNA from 1 species
UACGUAGGUGGCAAGCGUUAUCCGGAAUUAUUGGGCGUAAAGAGCGCGCAGGUGGUUGAUUAAGUCUGAUGUGAAAGCCCACGGCUUAACCGUGGAGGGUCAUUGGAAACUGGUCGACUUGAGUGCAGAAGAGGGAAGUGGAAUUCCAUGUGUAGCGGUGAAAUGCGUAGAUAUUGGGAGGAACACCGGUGGCGAAGGCGGCUUUCUGGCCAGUUACUGACGCUCAUGCGCGAAAGCUGGGGUAGCGAACCGGAUUAGAUACCCGUGUAGU